AUAGAUACCCGGGUAGUCCACCCCGUAAACGUUGGGAACUAGUUGUGGGGUCCAUUCCACGGAUUCCGUGACGCAGCUAACGCAUUAAAGUUCCCCGCCUGGGGAGUACGGGCCGCAAGGCUAAAACUCAAAGGAAUUGACGGGGACCCGCACAAGCGGCGGAGCAUGCGGAUUAAUUCGAUGCAACGCGAAGAACCUUACCAAGGCUUGACAUACACGAGAACGCCGUAGAAAUACGGAACUCUUUGGACACUCGUGAACAGGUGGUGCAUGGUUGUCGUCAGCUCGUGUCGUGAGAUGUUGGGUUAAGUCCCGCAACGAGCGCAACCCUCGUUCUAUGUUGCCAGCACGUAAUGGUGGGAACUCAUGGGAUACUGCCGGGGUCAACUCGGAGGAAGGUGGGGAUGACGUCAAAUCAUCAUGCCCCUUAUGUCUUGGGCUUCACGCAUGCUACAAUGGCCGGUACAAAGGGGCUGCAAUACCGUGAGGUGGAGCGAAUCCCAAAAAGCCGGUCCCAGUUCGGAUUGAGGUCUGCAACUCGACCUC
rnacentral:rRNA from 1 species